AUAAGCGGAGGAAAAGAAACCAACAGGGAUUGCCUCAGUAACGGCGAGUGAAGCGGCAAAAGCUCAAAUUUGAAAUCCCCCGGGAAUUGUAAUUUGAAGGACCUAUUAAAACCCUGAGAGAGCCCAAAGUCCAUUGGAAAAUGGCGCCAUAGAAGGUGAUAGCAAUGUUAGGACCUCUCUCAGCAUACUUUUUAGGCCCAAAGAGUCGAGUUGUUUGGGAAUGCAGCUCUAAGUGGGUGGUAAAUUCCAUCUAAAGCUAAAUAUUGGCGAGAGACCGAUAGCGAACAAGUACAGUGAUGGAAAGAUGAAAAGCACUUUGAAAAGAGAGUGAAAAAGUACGUGAAAUUGUUGAAAGGGAAGGGCUUGCAAGCAGACACAACCUCGGUUGGGCCAGCAUCGGGGCGGGGGGAAACAAAAAAGGUGUGGAAUGUGGCUCUUACGAGUGUUAUAGCCCCACCCAAUAUUUCCAUCCCAUCCCGAGGCCUGCGAUUCUUCAAGGAUGCUGGCGUAAUGGUUGCAAGUCGCCCGUCUUGAAACACGGACCACCACGGGGGGGUUU
rnacentral:rRNA from 1 species